rnacentral:lncRNA from 1 species
AGUAAGGGUUUCUGGGGAUGAGAGGCAGCCUCAGCCUGAAGCUUCCCCCAUGGCCCCGGUGCUUGGGCAAGUUCGAGAGCCUGUGACUGCCUUCUGGCGUUUGCUGGGGGUGCACACUCGGACGCACAGACCUCCGAAAAGCGAGACAGACGUCCGUAUCCGUGCGCUGCUGUUAAAACAGGCAGGGGGAGAACGUGAAGGGCACAGCGGAGGUCGCCGGAUAGAGCGGAGCGCCGUGGAGCCCACUAGGGUAAACACGGAGGUUAGCUGUGCGACGGGGCUCCUCACCCAAACAUCUGAUUUCAUUCUUACGACCGGGAGUUGGACAGAAAUGAGGCCACGCAAAUUUCAUCAUGUGAUUAUAUUCCAGUGAAAAUGGAUAACAAUAGAAGAAAAAACACCAACUCAGAUAUAUUUGAUGAAAAAGAGCAUCAUGCAUCAAAAAGAACAAAACUACAACUGAUGUUUCAUGAUUUCACCUUGUGUGCUUUGCUUUACACCUGCCAAGGAGGACAUGAAGAGAGGGAUCAUCCCAAAGACCUCGCUGUUACAAAGGAAGAGCAUAAAGAUCAGCACCCAGGAUGGGUGCGUCAGUGGUACAGGGGCGCGAGUUUGGGGUUUAUGGAACUCUGAUUUCUCUAAACAGAUGUCCUCAUCAUGGAAGUUAUUGUAGUCUCCACUUAACCAGAUGGGAUACCCAACUCCCUGUCGUGUUCAGAACUGACGGGGCUCAUUAAGUUGGCUUUAAAUUGGGUAUUAAGGGAGGAUCUGUUGCUUAGCCCAAAUAAUCUCAACAUGCACAAUGGAGAGAAGAGGGAGUUCAACAAGCAGAGAUAAAAUAUAAGAUAACUGAUAAGUCAUAUUAACAUACUGGACUUAAUUGUCUCUAAGUAACUACAAAGUAAAUGGGAAAUUAAAAAGAUUAACAGGAAACGUUCCUAAAUGAUGGAGACUAUGACGUCAUGCACACAAUAAAAAUAGAAAGAUACCAUUUCCUUGUUUGGAAUGCCAAAACUAAUACUGAAAAUAUGCUCCAUAACAAAUAUUAAAAGGAAAUUAAACUUGAGGAUGAAGCACUGUAAACCAGACCCCUAAAAGUGGAAAAAUGCCUUGCCAUUUAAUAGUGGUAAAUAGCAGAGACAACCUUUUGAACAGAGAUACAAAAAAUGAAAAUAAAAAGCUGCAGUUGGAAUGUUCUUAUAUAUAAAUGGUAGGCAUUCCUUUAAUUUAUAAAACCCCCAGACCAAGGGAUAAUUACAGACUCUCAAAUAGAUGAUUGCUAUAUAUUAAAUACUGAAUAAGCAAUAUUUAUAUGUACUGAUUCAUAUGAUAAAUAAGUGUAUCCACUGAUAAGUAUGAGCAAUGAAAUACUGACUGGACUGGUGUUGGUAAUGACGAAGAUGGUUUUCUUCUUUGGAAAUAAUAAACACCAUACAGAUACUGUACUUAUUUUAUUAAAUAAGGUCUAUUUUAAUUUAAGGAACACAUUUUACUAUGUAUGUUUCAUAGGAGCACAUGUCCAGAUAGUUAAUAUUUAAUGAAGAAAACAAUGACUGAUUGGAUGCUACCUACAUGACACAUGAUUAUAAGGGCUAAACUAAUUUAUCAGCCUAUCUUUAACUUCUAGAGAGUAAAAAGGAGCAGAUUCAGCAAUACAUAUAAUUGAUAUAAAGUAUCAACUGUUAACAAUGCACACUUUAACACAUUAGUUACAGGUACAGGUCUCAAAUCUCUAUAAUUCUGUAACUUACUUAAACACAUUAUCAAUCUCUCUAAAACUCUUUUUCUCCUCUAUAUAGUGAGGAAAAUACUAUUUAUCUGGGGUUUUCUAGAUAAUUCUUGUAUAACAUUAAUGCAGUGUAGAAUGUAAAGGGAACUAAAAAAAAGCUAAGUAAAAAAUUAAUAUAACCAUUACCCAAACUACUUAAAUCAAAUUUUACCUGGGAAUAUGAAGAUUAGAAGAUAAAAAUAGAACAGUAGUUUCCAUCCGCAGAUACUAUUAGGCUUUGCCAAUACUAGUUGAUUAAUAAAAAUCCGUCUUUAGGAAAGGAGACAUACUAAUUCCCAGAGGAGAAGUGGAGCAUAGGAGCACACAUCUGUAAUCCCAGUCCUGUGGGAGGCUGAGGCAGGAGGAUCGAAACUUUGAGCCCACCACGGGCAGCUCAGUGACUUAACAAGAUAUUGUCUCACACUGAAGAAGAAAAAGGGCUGGGGUGUAGCUCAGUUUAAAAAAACCAAACAAACAGGAGGAAAGGGGAG